GAAUUUUAAAACUUUGACCAGAAUCCUCAUUAAAGGGGACCUUUUCUUUUGUACACUUUCUAGAAAACCAGUGAGUAAGAGAGUGAGCUCCUGCACCCAAGCCUGAAUUCCAGGGGGCGUCCUGGUGCACACCCAGCAGUUCUCCCUGCAGUGCUAAAGAGACCCCUUACUUCUGACAUGCCGGGCACAGGCUGGACGUUACUCAGUGCCUCACUGCGUUUCCCCCGCCCGCUCAGGUGGCUGCCGUUACUGUUCUCUGCACCUUGCAGGUUUGUAGAUGUAGCAUGUAUGCACACAGCCGUUUCCUCACUCUGUCGUGUCCAGAACC
rnacentral:lncRNA from 1 species